AAUUAAUUUUUUCUUUUGGAAACAGUGGAGCUUGGGAAGCGAUUUUUCCCUCGUUGUUCAGCAGUACUGAACAAGAUCAUGGAUGGUGAUGACUAUUCCGAGAUCACUCAACUAGGGAAUAAUGCUCUCGAAGGGUGUCCAUUAAAGAGGCGAAGGCGCAUGGAACUCGAAGAAGUAUUGUGCAAGGCAUUUACUGAGGAUAAAGAAGAAUUUGACCGUACGAUUAACAUGUCGUCAUCUUCAUCAUCAUCUGUGGGAAUGAUGAAACCCAAUGGGAAAUGAGGACUGGAUUGUUUUAGUUAUUUUGGAUUCCACUGAAUGUUCAGAAAGUAUGAGCUAUAAAAGAUGUAAGUAUGCAUUUUUUUUUUCCCAAUAAUUUCCUGAAGCUGGAAGAACGUGUAUUCUUCUGCAUCGUUCCAUUUCUAGCCUUUUUGAUAAUUAAUAAUUUAAAUAGCAGAUCGAAUUGAUUAUAGAAACGUGAAUUUGAUCAGUUGAUUUAUUAGUGAAGUUAAUUGAUUAUAGACGGUAAACAAGUCAAUAUUUUCA